AUGAACGCUAGCUACAGGCUUAACACAUGCAAGUCGAGGGGCAGCAUUUUAGUUUGCUUGCAAACUAAAGAUGGCGACCGGCGCACGGGUGAGUAACACGUAUCCAACCUGCCGAUAACUCGGGGAUAGCCUUUCGAAAGAAAGAUUAAUAUCCGAUAGUAUAUUAAAACCGCAUGGUUUUACUAUUAAAGAAUUUCGGUUAUCGAUGGGGAUGCGUUCCAUUAGUUUGUUGGCGGGGUAACGGCCCACCAAGACUACGAUGGAUAGGGGUUCUGAGAGGAAGGUCCCCCACAUUGGAACUGAGACACGGUCCAAACUCCUACGGGAGGCAGCAGUGAGGAAUAUUGGUCAAUGGACGAGAGUCUGAACCAGCCAAGUAGCGUGAAGGAUGACUGCCCUAUGGGUUGUAAACUUCUUUUAUAUGGGAAUAAAGUAUUCCACGUGUGGGAUUUUGUAUGUACCAUAUGAAUAAGGAUCGGCUAACUCCGUGCCAGCAGCCGCGGUAAUACGGAGGAUCCGAGCGUUAUCCGGAUUUAUUGGGUUUAAAGGGAGCGUAGGUGGAUUGUUAAGUCAGUUGUGAAAGUUUGCGGCUCAACCGUAAAAUUGCAGUUGAAACUGGCAGUCUUGAGUACAGUAGAGGUGGGCGGAAUUCGUGGUGUAGCGGUGAAAUGCUUAGAUAUCACGAAGAACUCCGAUUGCGAAGGCAGCUCACUAGACUGCAACUGACACUGAUGCUCGAAAGUGUGGGUAUCAAACAGGAUUAGAUACCCUGGUAGUCCACACAGUAAACGAUGAAUACUCGCUGUUUGCGAUAUACAGUAAGCGGCCAAGCGAAAGCAUUAAGUAUUCCACCUGGGGAGUACGCCGGCAACGGUGAAACUCAAAGGAAUUGACGGGGGCCCGCACAAGCGGAGGAACAUGUGGUUUAAUUCGAUGAUACGCGAGGAACCUUACCCGGGCUUAAAUUGCAUUUGAAUAAUCUGGAAACAGGUUAGCCGCAAGGCAAAUGUGAAGGUGCUGCAUGGUUGUCGUCAGCUCGUGCCGUGAGGUGUCGGCUUAAGUGCCAUAACGAGCGCAACCCUUGUUGUCAGUUACUAACAGGUGAUGCUGAGGACUCUGACAAGACUGCCAUCGUAAGAUGUGAGGAAGGUGGGGAUGACGUCAAAUCAGCACGGCCCUUACGUCCGGGGCUACACACGUGUUACAAUGGGGGGUACAGAAGGCAGCUACCUGGCGACAGGAUGCUAAUCCCAAAAACCUCUCUCAGUUCGGAUCGAAGUCUGCAACCCGACUUCGUGAAGCUGGAUUCGCUAGUAAUCGCGCAUCAGCCACGGCGCGGUGAAUACGUUCCCGGGCCUUGUACACACCGCCCGUCAAGCCAUGGGAGCCGGGGGUACCUGAAGUGCGUAACCGCGAGGAUCGCCCUAGGGUAAAACUGGUGACUGGGGCU
rnacentral:rRNA from 1 species